GCGAGGGUGGCGGAAUUGGUAGACGCACUGGAUUUAGGUUCCAGCGCCGCAAGGCGUGGGGGUUCGAUUCCCCCCUCUCGCACCA
rnacentral:tRNA from 1 species